rnacentral:rRNA from 1 species
GAUGAACGCUAGCUACAGGCUUAACACAUGCAAGUCGAGGGGCAGCAUGACGAUAGCUUGCUAUUGUUGAUGGCGACCGGCGCACGGGUGAGUAACGCGUAUCCAACCUGCCCUUGUCCACCGGAUAACCCGUCGAAAGGCGGACUAACACGGUAUGCAGUCCACAGCAGACAUCAAACGUGGACGGACUGUGAAGGAGAAGGCUGGUGAUGCGUCUGCUUAGCUUGUUGGCGGGGUAAAGGCCCACCAAGGCGACGAUCAGUAGGGGUUCUGAGAGGAAGGUCCCCCACAUUGGAACUGAGACACGGUCCAAACUCCUACGGGAGGCAGCAGUGAGGAAUAUUGGUCAAUGGGCGAGAGCCUGAACCAGCCAAGUAGCGUGCAGGAAGACGGCCCUAUGGGUUGUAAACUGCUUUCAUACGGGGAUAAAGUGAGUCACGUGUGGCUUAUUGCAGGUACCGUAUGAAUAAGGACCGGCUAAUUCCGUGCCAGCAGCCGCCGCGG